UACGUAGGGUCCAAGCGUUAUCCGGAAUCACUGGGCGUAAAGCGUCCGCAGCCGGCGUGUUAAGUGAGAUGUUAAAUCAUGUGGCUCAACCAUAUCGAUGUAUCUCAUACUGGCAUGCUAGAGGAAAUCAGAGGCAAGUGGAAUUUGUAGUGUAGCAGUGAAAUGCGUAGAUAUUACAAGGAACACCAAUGGCGAAGGCAGCUUGCUGGGAUUUUUCUGACGGUCAUGGACGAAAGCGUGGGGAGCGAACAGGAUUAGAUACCCUGGUAGUCCACGCCGUAAACGAUGCAUACUAGACGUAUGGGGUAUCGACCCCCUGUGCGUCGAAGCUAACGCGAUAAGUAUGCCGCCUGGGAAGUACGGCCGCAAGGCUAAA
rnacentral:rRNA from 1 species